UACAGAGGGUGCGAGCGUUAAUCGGAAUUACUGGGCGUAAAGGGCGCGUAGGCGGUUAUUUAAGUUAGAUGUGAAAUCCCUGGGCUUAACCUAGGAAUUGCAUCUGAUACUGGAUGGCUGGAGUGCGGUAGAGGGUAGUGGAAUUUCCGGUGUAGCGGUGAAAUGCGUAGAUAUCGAAGAGGAACACCUGCGGCGAAGGCGGGUUGCUGGGCCGACACUGACGUGAAGCGCGAAAGCCAGGGGAGCGAACGGG
rnacentral:rRNA from 1 species